UGCCAGCCGCCGCGGUAAUACGGAGGGGGUUAGCGUUGUUCGGAAUUACUGGGCGUAAAGCGCGCGUAGGCGGACUAGUCAGUCAGAGGUGAAAUCCCAGGGCUCAACCCUGGAACUGCCUCCUAAACUCCUGGUCUUGAGUUCGAGAGAGGUGAGUGGAAUUCCAAGUGUAGAGGUGAAAUUCGUAGAUAUUUGGAGGAACACCAGUGGCGAAGGCGGCUCACUGGCUCGAUACUGACGCUGAGGUACGAAAGUGUGGGGAGCAAACAGGAUUAGCUA
rnacentral:rRNA from 1 species